AUGGAGGAGUUCACCUGGAAAGCCAAGGCGUCUUUGCAAUGUCAUUUCUUCAUCUGGCUUGCAGCACACAACCGGUGUUGGACCUCUGACCGACUAGCUAGGCGAGGACUUGACCAUCAAAAUAGAUGCCCUCUAUGCGAUCAAGAGGAAGAGACCAUUGGCCACAUUAGGUUACAGUGUGUGUUUGCAAAGGAGAUAUGGACGACGGUCCUUCAUUCUUUGGGAAAGUUGGAGUGGAUGCCGGUGGCUGGCAACAGAAUUGAAGACUGGUGCAGGGACAAGGGAGGUACAACAAAAUAGAACAUAGAUCGGGCGACAAUUUUCAUCCUAGUUAUGUGGGAGAUAUGGAAGCAUCGUAAUGCUAUUAUCUUUGAUGGAGCUUUGCCAUCCAAGAACUAUGUUAUUCUUCGGAUAUGCAAGGAAGGAAGAGCGUGGAAGCAAGCGGGAUUGAUUAAAGGAGACACAGACACGAUCUUUCACGAGGUGGAAACGUGGGUUAGUGCGAGGAGUUAG
rnacentral:rRNA from 1 species